GACGAACGCUGGCGGCGUGCUUAACACAUGCAAGUCGAACGGAAAGGCCCCCACUUUUUUGGUGGGGGUGCUCGAGUGGCGAACGGGUGAGUAACACGUGGGUGAUCUGCCCUGUACUUCGGGAUAAGCUUGGGAAACUGGGUCUAAUACCGGAUAGGACCAUGGUUUAGUGUCUCAUGGUGGAAAAAUUAUUGUUUUGGUGCAGGAUGAGCUCGCGGCCUAUCAGCUUGUUGGUGGGGUAAUGGCCUACCAAGGCGUCGACGGGUAGCCGGCCUGAGAGGGUGGACGGCCACAUUGGGACUGAGAUACGGCCCAGACUCCUACGGGAGGCAGCAGUGGGGAAUAUUGCACAAUGGGCGCAAGCCUGAUGCAGCGACGCCGCGUGGGGGAUGACGGCCGUCGGGUUGUAAACUCCUUUCGUUAGGGACGAAGCCGCACCUUUUUUGGGUGUGGUGACGGUACCUUUGUGAAGAAGCACCGGCUAACUACGUG
rnacentral:rRNA from 1 species